rnacentral:rRNA from 1 species
UACGUAGGGUGCAAGCGUUAAUCGGAAUUACUGGGCGUAAAGCGUGCGCAGGCGGUCCUGCAAGACAGAUGUGAAAUCCCCGGGCUCAACCUGGGAACUGCAUUUGUGACUGCAGGGCUGGAGUACGGUAGAGGGGGAUGGAAUUCCGCGUGUAGCAGUGAAAUGCGUAGAUAUGCGGAGGAACACCGAUGGCGAAGGCAAUCCCCUGGACCUGUACUGACGCUCAUGCACGAAAGCGUGGGGAGCAAACAGG